rnacentral:rRNA from 1 species
UGGGGAAUAUUGGGCAAUGGGCGAAAGCCUGACCCAGCAACGCCGCGUGAAGGAUGAAGUAUUUCGGUAUGUAAACUUCGAAAGAAUAGGAAGAAUAAAUGACGGUACUAUUUAUAAGGUCCGGCUAACUACGUGCCAGCAGCCGCGGUAAUACGUAGGGACCAAGCGUUGUUCGGAUUUACUGGGCGUAAAGGGCGCGUAGGCGGCGUGGUAAGUCAUCUGUGAAAUCUCCGAGCUUAACUCGGAACGGUCAGAUGAUACUGCUGUGCUAGAGUACAGAAAGGGCAAUCGGAAUUCUUGGUGUAGCGGUGAAAUGCGUAGAUAUCAAGAGGAACACCUGAGGCGAAGGCGGGUUGCUAGGCUGAUACUGACGCUGAGGCGCGAAAGCUAGGGUAGCAAACGGGGAUUAGAUACCCCAGUAGUCCCUGAGCGGGCUGGCAAGGCGCAU